UACUUAGUGGCGGACGGGUGAGUAAUGCUUAGGAGUCUGCCUAGUAGUGGGGGAUAACUUGGGGAAACCCAAGCUAAUACCGCAUACGACCUACGGGUGAAAGGGGGCUUUUAGCUCUCGCUAUUAGAUGAGCCUAAGUCGGAUUAGCUGGUUGGUGGGGUAAAGGCCUACCAAGGCGACGAUCUGUAGCUGAUCUGAGAGGAUGAUCAGCCACACUGGGACUGAGACACGGCCCAG
rnacentral:rRNA from 1 species